UCAAAUAAUAUAAAAAAUAAUAUAUAUAUUGACAUGGAUUAAACAAAGAUAUAUAUUAUUCUAUGUUGUAUAAACAAAUUGGCAAAAUAGAGAUGGAAGAUAAAAAUAUGGUCAAAGUAAUAAGAGUCUAUGGUGGAUGCCUAGGAGCUUUAAGGCGAAGAAGGUCGUGGUAAGCUGCGAAAAGCUUGGGGGAAAAGCAAACAUUUAUUGAUCCCAAGAUUACCGAAUGGAGUAAUCCAGCUAGCAAGAUGCUAGCUAUCUAUUAUUUAGAUAAUAGAGGCGAUACC
rnacentral:misc_RNA from 1 species